rnacentral:tRNA from 1 species
UCCGGAAUGGUGUAGUGGCUAGCAUUUCUGCCUCUCAUGGUCUGUUCAAUACAGUAAAUUUGUUCGCAGGAGACCGGGGUUCAAUUCCCCGUUCCGGAA